UACGUAGGUGACAAGCGUUGUCCGGAUUUACUGGGCGUAAAGAGCGCGCAGGCGGUCGAUCAAGUCGAGUGUGAAAGCCCCCGGCUCAACUGGGGAGGGUCAUUCGAUACUGAUCGACUCGAAGGCAGGAGAGGGUAGUGGAAUUCCCGGUGUAGUGGUGAAAUGCGUAGAUAUCGGGAGGAACACCAGUGGCGAAGGCGGCUACCUGGACCAGCACUGACACUGAGGCACGAAAGCGUGGGGAGCAAACAGGG
rnacentral:rRNA from 1 species